CCCCUCUCAGGGUCGCACUUGGAGAGUUUCCAGUACUCUACCAGUCUCAGCUACGGGAGAGAGAGUCAAGCAGAGGCAGAUCCAUUUCAUUCCUAGCUUGGCCAGUGGCUAGUGAGUGGAAGGCAAAUCUGCUACAAGU